UUUAAUGGCCGCAGUAUAUUAACGGUGCAAAGGUAGCAUAAUCAUUAGUCUUUUAAUUGAAGGCUGGUAUGAAUGGUUGGACGAGAUAUCAACUGUUUCAUACAAAUUUAUAAUAAAAUUUUAUUUUUUAGUUAAAAAGCUAAAAUUUAUUUAAAAGACGAGAAGACCCUAUAAAUCUUUAUAUAUAUGUUAUUAUAAUUUUGUAGUUUAUUUUUAUUAUUAUAAUUUAUAAUAUGUUAAUGGGGUGAUAUUAAAAUUUAUAAAACUUUCAAUUAUUAAGUUCAUUAAUUUAUGAACUAUUGAUCCUUUAUUAAUGAUUAAAAAAUUAAGUUACUUUAGGGAUAACAGCGUAAUUUUUUUGGAGAGUUCAUAUUGAAAAAAAAGAUUGCGACCUCGAUGUUGGAUUAAGAUAUAAUUUUA
rnacentral:rRNA from 1 species